CAAAUUCAUUGGGCUUUAUAUAAGUCCAAUAGUUAAAUUUUUGUGAUAUAAGUUCAUUACAACAGAUUGAGUAAAAUUAAAUUAAAAAUUUGGAAAAAUGUCGUCUGUCAUCUUCUAAAUCAUCUUUCGGGAAACAUCUCAUUAAUGAUUCUGCUUCUCUUCCAUGGUUUGGUAAAGUCUUUCUUCUAGGUUUCUUCUUCCGAAAUAUCUCGCUCUGGAUUUUGGCUCGGUUAUGGUCUUUUUUCUUCGAUGAUUGGCCGGAUUUGUAAGAUUGACUCGAUUAUCAUGUUUUUAAUUUCAUUUCUCCGGAAAUCCAGAAUAGAACAGAGAAUUUAAUUUAAUGAAUCUGCUUCUAUGAGAUUUUUCUUCGUCAAGGUCCAAUGGCUUGCAUAAUGUUUUUAUUAUCACUUCAUUGGUACCCAGAGAGGACCCAUUUAUCUGCCAAACAUCUUAAAACUGGAUUUGGGGAGAGGAUGAAGAGGAGCAGCUCAUCCGAUUCCCCUGAAGCGACUAUGCUGCUGUCUCCCUCUUAGUAAUCAGCCUUCUUCUUCGAUCGUCAACCUCCGGAGAGCUUUUUUUGGCGGUUUCUUCAUAUGUUUUCUAUUUGAGACUACAUUUGGAUGCACAAAUGGAUUUUACAAUGUAAAGAUGGAUUUACUUUUGUUUUAUGUGACCAUGUCUUCUUUAACCUACAAUCGAUGAUCAUGGCUUCUCGAUAGCAACCGCAUGGCAACCAACAUUAUGAGUGCAGUACAUGGCAACCAACAUUAUGAGUGCAGUACCGCUAUUCCACCAGAAACCUACUGUAGGGGAAUUGUAUUAUCUUCAAAUCUUGCUCAACAAUGUCAAGGGUGCCACAAGUUUCGCUCACUUGAAGAUUGUAGGAGGUGUUAUACAUGAAACAUUUAAAGAAGCAUGUUACGCAAGAGGGUUGAUAGAUGGAGAAUACUAAUGGGACAAGCGAAAUGGUGGAGUUCAUGGUAAGAUUUGUUGGAAAGCUCAUUCAAGAUAGAAUUGUAUUUGUGGCGUCCGUUACUCAAACUCUGUUUUGAUUUUUUCCUUACACUUUAAUUUUCCAAAUAAAUUUCACAUUUUAAAUAAAAUAAACAAGUCAAGAUUAGCGAUGUUUAAACAUAAAGGCUUUCAGUAUCUUCAAUCUAUAUAUUGCAAAUUUUGAUAUAUAUAUUCACAAAUUUUUAUUCCCUUCACUGCACCCUAGGGGACGAAAUCAAAUGAUCGAGUUUAUCACCGGUUAACAAUUAAACUGGGUUACAUUAUAAAUUGUGUCUUCUUUAGAGACUAUCAGAUUUUGAAUCUUAUUCUUCUCCACCACAUUGAUGACAACCUCCCUCAACAAUGUAAACAUGGUAAUGCUAAUUUGUUAGACACGGCUUCAAUUUUGUACCUUUUAAACUGCUCCUUAAUAUCCCAAAUUGUUUGUGCUGAUAUCAUCUCUCUUAUCGUGCUUGAGAUUUUAAUUGUCCACUAUUGAAACGGAAAUUGGAAUAAAUCAUUCACACUUAAUCUUAUGUCGAUUUGCCUUUCUAUACGACUACUACAAAUUCUAUCACACCACCCACAAACACGAAUUCAUACUUGCAUCUUGAUUUUAAAAACAGAAACUUUUUUUUAAAGAAAAUGUCUAAUGUUGAUGUUGAUGUUGUUACGAUUUCUACUGAGGCAAAUUAAGUGAGCUUUGAUGGCUUACGUCUUGGUCGUUUCUCCCAACAAGUUGGUGGCCGUCUACUUCGUUUUUGGGAUGCUCGCAAUAUCAAGAAGGAUAACGAAUUUAUGGGAAUUAUUCUUAUCUUACUCGAUGAAAAGUGCUCACUAAUCAAUGCCUUCAUCCCAUCAGCUUAUGCUAGUCAAUUCCGUCAUGUUAUACGUGAGGGUGUAAUCUUAAAUGUUGGAGAGUUUGAAGUGGGUCGAUGCCCAAGGCUCGAUAAGAUCACUGACUAUCCUUACGUCAUUCGUUUCCUGCCUGUCACAUCAAUUGUUGAGGUUGAAGAUGUUGGCCCUUCAGUUCAGUGAGAAAAAUUCAUGUUACGAAACUAUGAAGACUUACAAUUUCUUGCUAACACCAACAAUGAACUCCCUGAUGUGGUUGGCCAAAUCUGCUUUGUUCUAGGAUCUAACCUCAAUGAUCCAACUUCCACUCAGCGUUUGGUAGUGCGAUACCGGAUGGAU